rnacentral:rRNA from 1 species
CCUACGGGAGGCAGCAGUAGGGAAUCUUGUGCAAUGGGCGAAAGCCUGACACAGCAACUCCGCGUGCGGGAAGAAGGCCUUAGGGUUGUAAACCGCUUUUGGCAGGAACGAAAAUGACGGUACCUGCAGAAUAAGGUGCGGCCAACUACGUGCCAGCAGCCGCGGUGACACGUAGGCACCAAGCGUUGUCCGGAUUUAUUGGGCGUAAAGAGCUCGUAGGCGGUUCAGUUAGUCGGGUGUGAAAACUCUGGGCUUAACCCGGAGACGCCACUCGAUACUGCUGGGCUAGAAUUCGGUAGGGGAGUGGGGAAUUCCUGGUGUAGCGGUGAAAUGCGCAGAUAUCAGGAGGAACACCGGUGGCGAAGGCGCCACUCUGGGCCGACAUUGACGCUGAGGAGCGAAAGCGUGGGUAGCAAACAGGAUUAGAUACCCUGGUAGUCCACGCCGUAAACGGUGGGCACUAGGUGUGGGUUCCAACCAACGGAAUCCGUGCCGUCGCAAACGCAUUAAGUGCCCCGCCUGGGGAGUACGGCCGCAAGGUUAAAACUCAAAUGAAUUGACGGCUGAGACNGCAGCGACACGAGGAGAG